AUUUUUUGCCGGUGUUGCCAGUGCUGCAUUUCCAGCAGAGGGCACAUAAACACACGUUUUCCAACCUCUCUAAUAUUUGCAAAGCUGCAGAUUCUGAUUAUCCUCAAGUUUCCUGCCAGAUUUCUUCCAGCUGGUACUGCAGCACUCAUCCCAUGACCCAACAUAUGCUUCUCCCUUGGACACCCAUUUCUUCUUUCCUGAAGCACAAUCUGAGUAAUCUCUGGAUCUGCAGAUUUC
rnacentral:lncRNA from 12 species